rnacentral:rRNA from 1 species
GACGAACGCUGGCGGCGUGCCUAAUACAUGCAAGUCGAGCGGACGAAUCGAAAGCUUGCUUUUGAUUCGUUAGCGGCGGACGGGUGAGUAACACGUGGGCAACCUGCCCUGUAGACGGGGAUAACACCGAGAAAUCGGUGCUAAUACCGGAUAACACGAAAUGUCGCAUGACGUUUCGUUGAAAGACGGCGCAAGCUGUCGCUACAGGAUGGGCCCGCGGCGCAUUAGCUAGUUGGUGAGGUAACGGCUCACCAAGGCGACGAUGCGUAGCCGAACUGAGAGGGUGAUCGGCCACACUGGGACUGAGACACGGCCCAGACUCCUACGGGAGGCAGCAGUAGGGAAUCUUCCGCAAUGGACGAAAGUCUGACGGAGCAACGCCGCGUGAGCGAAGAAGGCCUUCGGGUCGUAAAGCUCUGUUGUUAGGGAAGAACAAGUAACGCAGUAACUGGCGUUACCGUGACGGUACCUAACGAGAAAGCCACGGCUAACUACGUG